rnacentral:rRNA from 1 species
GCAUAGGAAUCUGCCCGGUAGAUGGGGGAUAACGUGGGGAAACCCACGCUAAUACCGCAUACGUCCUACGGGAGAAAGCAGGGGAUCUUCGGACCUUGCGCUAUCGGAUGAGCCUAUGUCGGAUUAGCUAGUUGGUAAGGUAACGGCUUACCAAGGCAACGAUCCGUAGCUGGUCUGAGAGGAUGAUCAGCCACACUGGGACUGAGACACGGCCCAGACUCCUACGGGAGGCAGCAGUGGGGAAUAUUGGACAAUGGGCGAAAGCCUGAUCCAGCCAUGCCGCGUGUGUGAAGAAGGCUUUCGGGUUGUAAAGCACUUUCAGCGAGGAAGAAAGCCUCUGGGCCAAUACCCCAGAGGAAGGACAUCACUCGCAGAAGAAGCACCGGCUAACUCCGUGCCAGCAGCCGCGGUAAUACGGAGGGUGCGAGCGUUAAUCGGAAUUACUGGGCGUAAAGCGCGCGUAGGUGGGCUUGGCACGCCGGUUGUGAAAGCCCCGGGCUCAACCUGGGGAACUGCAUCCCGGAACGGCCAGGCUUAGAGUGCAGGAGAGGGAAGGGUAGAAUUCCCCGGGUGUAGCGGGUGAAAUGCGUAGAGAUCGGGGAGGGAAUACCCAGUUGGCGAAAGGCGGCCCUUUCUGGGCCUGGACACUGAC